ACGAGUUAUCUGAACCUUCGGGGAACGAUAACGGCGUCGAGCGGCGGACGGGUGAGUAAUGCCUAGGAAAUUGCCCUGAUGUGGGGGAUAACCAUUGGAAACGAUGGCUAAUACCGCAUGAUGCCUACGGGCCAAAGAGGGGGACCUUCGGGCCUCUCGCGUCAGGAUAUGCCUAGGUGGGAUUAGCUAGUUGGUGAGGUAAGGGCUCACCAAGGCGACGAUCCCUAGCUGGUCUGAGAGGAUGAUCAGCCACACUGGAACUGAGACACGGUCCAGACUCCUACGGGAGGCAGCAGUGGGGAAUAUUGCACAAUGGGCGCAAGCCUGAUGCAGCCAUGCCGCGUGUGUGAAGAAGGCCUUCGGGUUGUAAAGCACUUUCAGUCGUGAGGAAGGUGGUGUAGUUAAUAGCUGCAUUAUUUGACGUUAGCGACAGAAGAAGCACCGGCUAACUCCGUGCCAGCAGCCGCGGUAAUACGGAGGGUGCGAGCGUUAAUCGGAAUUACUGGGCGUAAAGCGCAUGCAGGUGGUUUGUUAAGUCAGAUGUGAAAGCCCGGGGCUCAACCUCGGAAUAGCAUUUGAAACUGGCAGACUAGAGUACUGUAGAGGGGGGUAGAAUUUCAGGUGUAGCGGUGAAAUGCGU
rnacentral:rRNA from 1 species